AUAAUACAAGGUGGAGAGGAAAAAAAAGUGUGUAUGUUUGCACAAAAGGACACUGCCUAUAUUUUAAGUCAUAGAUCUUAAUUUGUGAAACUUUUAAUAUCCUACAUUCACAAACACUCAUAGAAACCAUUGCACUCAGAGUGGGCGGGCUUAAAACCCCUCCCACUCACCCAUUGAUUAAACUGAUGUUUCCCAUGGCCAAUCAGAGCAAGAGGUCACCUUUAACGGCCUUUAACCUUUAAUGCAAAUGAGAGGCACACAGGUAACAGGCCAGUCAGUCUUGUGUAAUGAACCUGUACCUAUAGUUAACUGAAGCGUGUCUAUUUUGCUCUGGAGUGAAGAUUAAAGUUUCACCUGGUGGAGCUAAAGUUUUGCUAGCUAACGUUACGUCACCACUCAACGUGAUAAGUAAGCUCAUGCAAACAAGUUAGCUAGCCUGGAUGAUUUAUGACAGUAUUUAUAUAUGACGGGUCAGCCGAUGAAGACUUCCUUUCCUCUCGUUUGCUCUGAUGGCGUGGGAAAACUGACUGAAUCUGUUUAUCUCUGUCGAGGACACGGUCUACUUUUUCUUCGUGAAAUCGUCCCGGACCCUGGAAAGGACUGUGGUGGAAGUGGAAUCCUUCCCUUUAAGACCUGUCCAAGGGCUUUUGUUGCACUUGCAGUGGCGUGUGUUCCACAAAAUACGUGUUGACAAACAGAAACGGGGCCGCUACGCUGGGACACUGGGAUGAAGUAUGACGCACGAUGACGACCUUGAAGAGAAGUAAAUAUCUACUUAAGUGUUUCCUCCUUGCGUGCCGUGCUCUCAGUGGUGGUGUAGCUCAGGUGCCGUGAGCGGUUAGUGAUGCUCUGAACAAAGGGUGAAGUGUGUGGGAGAGCCUCCAUGAAAGGCUGGUGGAUUCAUUUUUUCUCAGUUUAUCCUGGAUCUCAGCCAGAAAUAGUCCUGUCUGUAAUUUCAUUACCACUAUUUAGUACAUCUAUUUAUUUAGUGACAUCAGCACCGGCGUUUACUCACCGUGCAAGCGAGAGACGUCGGCACUAACUGUGAUUUUUAAUAAGAUGUGUACUUAGUUCCUGUUCUAAUUAGCAUCAUGCCGAAGCCGACUAAUGCACAUUUGAGCUGACAUUGCUUAUAUAAUUUAACAUUACGGGUUUUAAUAAAACACCCUCUUCAUGCUUCAUUUCCACUGAUCACCAGCUGCUGGGUCAAUUGAAUAAUUAAGAAUUUAAUUAAGCUUCAGUUUGGAUCACAAUCUUCUAACACAGGCAAGCCUUGUACUCUAAGCAUCAGUAGCAGAGAUCAAAUAGGGAAGGGAUGAUGUGCCGAGCAAGAAUUUAGAGAUGUGAGCUCUAUCAUGCGCUGAAAUGGAAAGGUCUGAAGUGGCUUAUCUAUUUGAUCUCUGAAUCCUCUGGUUCCACUCCACAGAGUUGGGCUGUUAUUUUUCUGCUUGCCCAUAUUAUACUGCAGAUUCCAGUGCAACCCUCUAAGGUAUGCAGCAUUUCUGUCUGUAUUAUCCCUUUGGACUGCUCUCCUCAUCAUUGCCAGUAUGUAAUACAAUACAUUCUAUUGACUUCUUGGGAAGCAGCUCUCACAGUGAAUUGACUCUGUUGCUAUGGCCUAAAGUAGGCUAAUUUCACUAAAUGGUGCAUGAGUAAAUGUUAAAUGAAGCUACUGAACCCAGCAAUAUGAGACACUGUGUGUCUCCAUAUGUUAACACACAUGUUUUAAUCUUUGUUGUGUGUGCAGUGCUGACUGUCUAUUGUAAUUGGCUGUACUAUUAAACUAUAAAGUGUCUCAGCACAUACACAUCCACUGUGUUACAAUACUGCAUCCUGCAGUUCUAUGAUAUUUGAAUAUGUUCAAAUAGCCAAGCACACAGUGAUGGAGAAGACCUCACAGGAGUUUGUCAUCUAAAAUAAUAUUAAAAAUCAGAAUUUGAAGUGUUGAAUAUGUAGGUGCCAUGGGUAAACACAGCAGCACCAUUUGUUGGACCAACAGUGGUUUAAAGGGGAACCACACUGUGUUGGUGCAAGCAACUCAUUUUGGCUAUCAAAGUGGAUUCAUUAUCAAAAGAUAAUAAAUAAUAACUUCAAUUAACAUUAAAGUUCCCCGGG
rnacentral:lncRNA from 1 species